ensembl:lncRNA
AUUUAAGGGCUGGCUGCCACAGGGGAAGAAUCUCUUGCUGGAGAUACCUUUUUGUGGAUUUUUUGUGAGCCUACAACAUUGGGAGCGAGAGAUCCUUAUUACUGCUUUGAAUGCAACACGUUGUCUCAAAACCAUCUGUAGAGCUGCUGGCCCAGAGUCAUUCCUCUAACUAAGGGGUUUACUAAUUUGCUUCAACUUCACACUUAUGCUAAAUAUUAGCACUGUUAAAGAAAUAAACCUGGUACAAGGAAUGAAAAGUCACAAGGCUUUGGUCAUCUGUGGAAGACCAACCUCAGAACAUAUCACUAUAGCAGAGAAGAACAUCUGCAACCUGGAGUUUUCUGUGAUGUUUUUAAUAUAUUGGGCCCAGGCCAUGAGGAUAAAGAGGAAAGACCAUAAAUAUUGUUUUGAGAUCUGUGGAGGGGCAGUAGAGGACAAGUUUGAUGUGCUCAGAGUUGUUCAUAUUGCUGCAGGGGCUGUAUCAAUUGGAGUCUCCAAAGGGUUGUUGGAGAUUCUGUAACCCAAACAGAAGGGGAAAAAAGCUUGGCUUCUGAAGGCCAGAAUAUCAUGUGCCAGAAUGGAACGGAGUCUUCUAGCCAAAUGAGGAUGGCACAGAGCUGACCAUGGCAGCACACUGUGGCAGAGGGUUCUGAGGCCUUUUGAGCACUGCCUAAACAGACUGUUUGUGGCUGUUUAAAAUAUGUAACAGCUACCACAGAGUGACCAUAAACUAUUCAGAGUGCUUUCUUUUGCCUGCCAGAGUAAUCUCCAUCUUCCUCAGGUUCAGCUCUCACAAUCUGUACCUCAUCCACAGAGCCCAUCAUGUUGAAGAGAUGGGCCACCCUGAUCUAAUGAGAUCAUUGUACACAGUGAAAUUAAGGCUGGUCUAAAACUGAGGCACUGGGUCUAUUCCAUAUUCUCCUAGGAAAUGUUGGGAAAUAGAUGUUAGAUACGAGUGAACUGAGAACUGAUGUGUCUCUGUGAGUGGAGCCAUGAGGUCUGGAAACCUGUUGAUACUGCAGAAAGUUUUGGUAUAGAUCUAUAGGCUCUUUACUGAUGCUUUGUCAAGGCUAUACUUUCCACAUGGGAGAAUUUAUUCUUAAGCUGAGUACUCUCCUCUAUUUCCUGAUUUUUAGAAUGUAUUAUUUCAAUUUUAAUGCUUCAUCUCUCUUUAGCUGAACGUUUCUUCUCCUACCACUUCUGCCACAGGACCUUGAAUUAAUGCGAUUGUAUGUUGUGUAUUUCUUCGUGGUUUUUGUAAGAGAAAAAUACGGGAAUCAGAUUCAGAAGUAAGACUGACACAAUGCUAUACUUUCCAAGCUGCAACUAGCAGCUCUGGCAGAACUGAAAUAUUUAAUUCCACCUCCAUUGAGAUGCAGCAAUCCCCAAAUUUCAGAUCCAGGUCUGAACUGUCAGUAUGAUUUUAGAACAGUGGCUUCAAUAUCAGCUUUCAGUCUCACUGCCAUGAAGAAAGAAACUUCCUAUGAAAUGUGUAGACAUAGAUGGACAAUAUAUGAAGGGUCAAAACUGAAUUUAAAAGAAUUCAACAUAGUGAAAAGGAAAUUGUUUUCUGUUAUGUUGUCCAAGGAGGAAUAAAAGAGUCUGACUUGGAUUAAAACAGAAAUUUUGGCAUGGAUCAUGCAAUAAACUGCUUAUUU